GACGAACCGUGCGAACGUUGUUCGGAAUCACUGGGCUUAAAGGGCGCGUAGGCGGGCGAGCGAGUCGGAGGUGAAAUCCCACGGCUCAACCGUGGAACUGCUGGGUAUACUGGCGAUCUUGAGCCACCUAGGGGCGAGCGGAACAAGCGGUGGAGCGGUGAAAUGCGUAGAUAUCGCUUGGAACGCCAAUGGUGAAAACAGCUCGCUGGGGGUGUGCUGACGCUGAGACACGAAAGCCAGGGGAGCGAACGGG
rnacentral:rRNA from 1 species